UGAAAAAUAUCCUGUUGAAAAGGCAAUAAAUAUCUCACACUGAGACAUGCAGAUACACCUUUCCUGAAAAGGAUAAACACUGCAAGAGUGUUCAUGUCCUUACUAAAUCUUAGCACUGUUCUUCAAUCUGUUCUUCAUAUAGAAGCCUAACACAAAAUUAAAUGUCUGCUUUUCUGCUUUCUCUGUCCCAAAACAAAUCCAUUUUAUCACUCAGACAUGCACUUUGACUACAAAAUAAUUUUUUUUAAUGUUAAAGGUAACUUUGAGCUUAAUCCCAAAAUGUAAUAAUCUUUCAGAUUUUGUAUUUCUCAAAAUGGAAGGCAAUACCAGCAUAGAUAGCUAAUAAUUACCAUUAGAAAAAAAAGCUGGAUUUCCAUUCCUUAUUGGUACAAACCCGCCAGUUCAAGUGAUAACAGGAGUAGACCAAUGCCUCAUACCUUAGGCUGACAUGACAAACAGCUUUCAAAAUUUACUGCACACAUUAACAUUCAGAUUAGUCAUCUUGAACCAUUUGUUAAACAGUUUUCCUUUGCUUCCAAUAAAAGGCUUAACUUGCCUUUAUUCUAUUUUCAGAAACUUCUGAAGUGACAAACUAACCAUAACAGAAACUGCUAUACCAGUCUUAAGAUUUUAUGACUGUAAUAUCAAUGGCAAAAUACUCUAGAGAAAAGUAUUAGUUAAAACUCAAAAAUGAGUUUUAAACCAUCAAGUUUUUAAUUGCAUGCAAAAUGUUACCCAGAUUAUAUUUGCAAUUACUAGCAUUGUGCAUAUCUGAAAAGAGAUUCAGGCCUUUUAUAAAGGAAAAUGUGAGCAUGAAAAUUUGAUUGCUUUCUUGCUGUAAUUUUCUGUAAAAUAGUGUCCUAUUUAAUUGAUGUAAUACCUAAUGAUGCUAGAAAGAUACAUAGAUGUGCAUAACUGUAUCAUGUUUCUGCUGUAAGUGAAUAAGAGGAUUGUAAUGAGAAAAUGUGACAAGGAUUUCUUGAUCAGUUAUAUCUGUAAGCAAGUGUUUUAAAACUGAUGCAGUUUAUGGCAAUGAAAUACCCAUGAAACCUUUUAUCCCUCACAAUAAACAAGAUAAAAGAUUCCUUUAACUUUUUCUUAUUUUCUUCCCACCCUAACGAUAUGAAUAAUGAGAAACAUGAGUGACAACAACAGAUGCAAAUGCUACUGAAGAGUAAUCCCAGAUUGGGUCCAGGUUAUGAAAAGGUUUUGCAGACUCUGUGACUACCUCUUUCCCAAGACUCAAAAGGCCAGAGGAGGAACAAUGCAGUGGCUGGUACCCAUUUCAGCUGGUUUCUCCUCAGAGAAGCAAAACUCCAUUUGUAAAACACAUUGAGGUGAAGAAAUGGUCUGACUGAAUUGGGUAAGAUAAAUUUCUUGAGUUUACUCUUGACUAAGUAAAGAGAUGCCACUUUCCAUGUCAGCUGAUUUAGCCAGGUACUAUGGGAGAGGAUUGCAAGCCUUCAUUUCACACAGGAUGCCUUACAGAGCAGCUAUGAGCAUGGGCAUGUGUGCCAAGUGUUUGGUAAUUAUGGUAGUUUAAGUACAGUGCAUCACUGUUAUUCCUACACAUCCCCUUCCCUCCAGGCUGAGCCCAGUUUCCCACAGGGUAGGAACUGGGGCUUGGCUCUGUGCACUGCAAGCUCACACUAAAAAUCUGUGCUGACUCUGUGCUCCAUGCUCAGGAGACUUGUGUUAAGAUCUAACAGAUCAAGGAGGCAAAGAGGUACCAGGAACAGCUCUUUGCUGUUCCUUCCAUCCCCUGGGGAUGCAUCAACUCUGUUAUUUUUCUUGUUAAUUCCUUUUUGGCUCCAUCAAACACAAACUUUUCAUUUCUUUUUUCCUAGAUGCGUCAUUAAGGGAUGAGUUCCUCUUUGCCAUGUACCAUUGCACUAUUCCUUCACAGGGUCUACAAAGUAUGUACCCCGCAAAGGGAAUUUGACAGUAACAGUUAAAGUAACAACUUUUCACCCAUGUAUUUUUCAUUGUUAGAUGCUAUGUGCAAUUGUCAGAGACUGGGGCAUGUCAGUGACUAGAGGUUUUAGUCAUUGUUGAUGUUAGGAAGAGUGGAGGAUACAUAAUUUCCCCCAGCUCCACAAAAGAGAACUAAAAAGCUCAUCUAGGUGUUAUUUGAGUCAAUUAUAAAGUACUAGUACUUUAUACGUCUAAUGCCUUUUUUGAAGAUGGUGCAUAUUAAAAUAAAAAGCUAAAAAAGUUA